CGGACGUGAGGAACCUGCCUUCAAGAGGGGGACAACAGUUGGAAACGACUGCUAAUACCGCAUGACACAUAGAGAUCGCAUGGUUUUUAUGUCAAAGAUUUAUCGCUGAAAGAUGGCCUCGCGUCUGAUUAGCUAGUUGGUGAGGUAACGGCCCACCAAGGCGACGAUCAGUAGCCGGACUGAGAGGUUGACCGGCCACAUUGGGACUGAGAUACGGCCCAG
rnacentral:rRNA from 1 species